rnacentral:rRNA from 1 species
GACGAACGCUGGCGGCGUGCUUAACACAUGCAAGUCGAACGGAAAGGCGCUGCUUUUGUUGGGUGCUCGUGUGGCGAACGGGUGUGUAUAACGUGAGUAACCUCCACUUGACAUUGGGAUAACUUCACGAAAAUGGGGCUAAUAUACGAUAGGAGCUACUGCAGCAUGUUGGGGGUUGGUAAGAUUCGGCGGUGGGGGAUGGAAUGGAGGGUUCUCAGCUUGUUGGGGAGGUAGGGGCUUACCAAGUCUUUGACGGUUAGCCCACCUGAGAGGGUGACCGGCCACAUUAGUACUGAGAUACGGACCAGACUCCAACGGUAGGCAGCAGUGGGGAAUAUUGCACAAUAGGCGGAAGCCUGAUGCAGCAGCGCCGCGUGCGGGAUGACGGCCUUCGGGUGGUAAACCACUUUCGCAGGUGACGAAGCGUUAGUGACGGUAAUGGGUAAAGAAGCACCGGCUAACUACGUG